UACGGAGGGUGCAAGCGUUAAUCGGAAUUACUGGGCGUAAAGGGCGCGUAGGCGGCCUUCUAAGUCAGACGUGAAAUCCCCGGGCUCAACCCGGGAACUGCGUCUGAUACUGGAAGGCUUGAAUCCGGGAGAGGGAUGCGGAAUUCCAGGUGUAGCGGUGAAAUGCGUAGAUAUCGGGAGGAACAUCUGUGGCGAAGGCGACACCCUGGACCAGCACUGACACUGAGGCACGAAAGCGUGGGGAGCAAACAGG
rnacentral:rRNA from 1 species